rnacentral:rRNA from 1 species
UGAUAUUACCCUUGGGGGGGGAGGUUCCGGAGCGCCAGACCCGAUCCGGUAGUAGCCAAGCAAUGGGGUGACGCAGGAAGGUAGUUCAACCGCGGCGAUGGUAGUCCGCGGCCAAGGUCGUAGGGCGAUGCGUAGGCAAAUCCGCGCAUCAUAUGCCUGAGAGCUGAUGGGGAGCCGAUUGAGGCGAAGUGAGUGAUCCUAUGCUGCCAAGAAAAGCCUCUAGCGAGAAUCAAAGCCGCCCGUACCCCAAACCAACACAGGUGGUCAGGUAGAGAAUACUAAGGCGAUCGAGUGAACUAUGGUUAAGGAACUCGGCAAAAUGCCCCCGUAACUUCGGGAGAAGGGGGGCCAGGACUGGUGAUGGGACUUGCUCCCUGAGCUGGCUCUGGCCGCAGAGACCAGGCGGAAGCGACUGUUUACUAAAAACACAGGUCCAUGCAAAGUCGCAAGACGACGUAUAUGGACUGACGCCUGCCCGGUGCUGGAACGUUAAGGGGACCGGUUAGGCCUUCGGGCCGAAGCUGAGAACUUAAGCGCCAGUAAACGGCGGUGGUAACUAUAACCAUUCUAAGGUAGCGAAAUUCCUUGUCGGGUAAGUUCCGACCUGCACGAAUGGCGUAACGACUUCCGCGCUGUCUCAACCAUAGACUCGGCGAAAUUGCACUACGAGUAAAGAUGCUCGUUACGCGUGGCAGGACGGAAAGACCCCGGGACCUUUACUAUAGCUUGGUAUUGGUGGUCGAUUCGAUUUGUGUAGGAUAGGUGGGAGACUAUGAAGCUCGGACGCCAGUUCGGGUGGAGUCACUGUUGAAAUACCACUCUGAUCGUAUUGGCUGUCUAACCUCGGACCGUGAUCCGGUCUAGGGACAGUGCCUGGUGGGUAGUUUAACUGGGGCGGUUGCCUCCUAAAAGGUAACGGAGGCGCUCAAAGUUUCCCUCAGCCUGGUUGGCAAUCAGGUGUCGAGUGUAAGUGCACAAGGGAGCUUGACUGUGAGACCGACGGGUCGAGCAGGGACGAAAGUCGGAACUAGUGAUCCGGCGCAUGCUAGUGGAAGCGGCGUCGCUCAACGGAUAAAAGGUACCCCGGGGAUAACAGGCUGAUCUUGCCCAAGAGUCCAUAUCGACGGCAUGGUUUGGCACCUCGAUGUCGGCUCGUCGCAUCCUGGGGCUGGAGUAGGUCCCAAGGGUUGGGCUGUUCGCCCAUUAAAGCGGUACGCGAGCUGGGUUUAGAACGUCGUGAGACAGUUCGGUCCCUAUCCGCCACGCGCGCAGGAGUCUUGAGAAGACCUGCCCCUAGUACGAGAGGACCGGGGUGGACGAACCUCUGGUGUGCCAGUUGUCCUGCCAAGGGCACGGCUGGUUAGCUACGUUCGGAAGGGAUAACCGCUGAAAGCAUCUAAGCGGGAAACCCGCUUCAAGAUGAGGACUCCCACAGGGUUGACCUGGUAAGGCCCCCAGCUAGACGACUGGGUUGAUAGGCCGGAUGUGGAAGCACAGCAAUGUGUGGAGCUGACCGGUACUAAUAGGCCGAGGACUUGCCCC